CAUUAAUGUUUUACAGCUAACCUACUCUGCCAAGCACCCUAACAGGUGCAUUGGGAAAAUAAAGUAAAAAAAGACUUAAAAAAAAAUAAAUGAAAGCAUAGUAAAGACCUUAAACUAACACAGAAACGAACCACUAUUUUGAAAUCCCAUUUUCAUUUUUCUAUACCCAGACUUCUUUGUGCAUCAGUCGCAUAAGAGGCUAUUCUUCUAUGAAUUAGCACCUUCUGACUUUUUCGAUUCCAGUCUCCCUAUUUUUGAGUUCAUCGGAUCUAUCCUCCAUUGUUGCAUUCAGACUCAUCGCUAACAUUUCAUCCACCAUUUGUACUGAUUCUUUCACGAUUUACCAAGUCUUGCACUGCACACGGUACCUCCUCUAUCCAGUAUUGAGGACCGUCGAACUUCUUUCCUUCAAUCGCUAUUUCAUGCGCCACCGUAUUUGCUUCUUUUUGUACAUAUUGAAACUGUAUGCUACUAAAUCUGUAGGAUUUCUCCUUGAUUACAUGAAUAAUGCUUUUAAUACUUGAUCUGUCUUCUGUUGCAAGGGUUAGUUUUCUGAUGACCAUCAACGCAUCUCCUUCAACACAUAUUUCGCGAAAACCCAUUUCUUUUGCCAUGGUGAUAGCCUGUAAACAUGCCUUUGCUUUAGCCGUUGUUGGAUCUGUAAUAUUCUCCCAUGGAUAAGUACACGAUGCCAUAACCAAACCAUCUUUAUUACGCGUAACUAUACUUGACACUGAUGAAUAAUGGUUCUGAUUAUAGGACGUAUCAAAAUUGAUUUUUAUGAUAUCUCUCCUAGAUGGUUGCAACAAAAUAUUUUUUAUCUCGUUUUUGCUUUUCAUAACUCCUCAUAUGUGUGUUAAUUCUGCAUAAUAUGCGUUGAUAAAACCCACAGUAGCACACGCUAGCACCCUUUUGUCCUCAUGCAAUAUUCUGAUUCUGUUGUACAAAUAGCCGAUAAAUGUAUAGUUCGAAUUUCGCAUUCCUCAUCAGUGAGAUUUCCAAAUUCAGUCGCUAACCACUGUUUCCAACUUGUUUCACUCUUGCAUGUUGAAUUAAAAACUCCUAAUUCUUGGAGCACUUGUUGAGUGAAGUUACAAUCCCAAAAGAGAUGACUCACCGUCUCCUCUUCUUCUUGACACACUGGACAAGUCGUGUUUGCCACCAGUUUCAGAACUUUCAGAUUUUUCAAGACCGGCAUAAAUUCAUUAGCAACUUUCCAUAGAUGUAUUCUGAUCUUGUUUGGUACCUUUAUUUCUCAAAUUUUUUUGUAAAAUUUAGAUAGAAGAUUAGAUUGUAUGUUGGUACCCUCUGCUGUAUUCAGCCAACUAUAUCCAGUUUUAGCUGUAUAAUCUCCUGUAUUAUCUCCCCUCCAAGUUAUAACCUCUUGUGGUGCACUACUCGCCAGCAGGAUUGAGACUAUCUUUUGCAUUUGCUCAUCCCUAAAUAAUAAACGAUUUUCCUCUUGCUUCCAGCUCCCAGUAACCAGACAUCAUUCCAGAUAGUAACACUCUUCCCAUUCCCGAUUCUCCAGCCAAUCCUAUCCUCAAUAAGGUAUCUGGCACUCCAUAUGCUUCUUCAGGUGUAUGAAUGGUAAGAACCAAUAUUAGCACUCAUAAA